rnacentral:rRNA from 1 species
CCUACGGGAGGCAGCAGUAGGGAAUCUUCCACAAUGAGCGAAAGCCUGAUGGAGCAACACCGCGUGGGUGAAGAAGGUCUUCGGAUCGUAAAGCCCUGUUGUUAGAGAAGAAAGUUCGUGAGAGUAACUGUUCACGUUUCGACGGUAUCUAACCAGACAGCCACGGCUAACUACGUGCCAGCAGCCGCGGUAAUACGUAGGUGGCAAGCGUUAUCCGGAUUUAUUGGGCGUAAAGGGGACGCAGGCGGUCUUUUAAUUCUGAUGUGAAAGCCUUCGGCUUAACCGGAGGAGUGCAUUGGAAACUGGGAGACUUGAGUGCAGAAGAGGAGAGCGGAACUCCAUGUGAAGCGGUGAAAUGCGUAGAUAUAUGGAAGAACACCAGUGGCGAAGGCGGCUUACUGGGUUGUAACUGACGCUGAGGGUCGAAAGCGUGGGUAGCAAACAGGAUUAGAUACCCUUGUAGUC